rnacentral:lncRNA from 1 species
AGGGGCUCGAGAGGCCUGGACCUGUGGCGCAUCCUCAGUGAGGAGGGCCGCCCUGCAUCCGUCGCCGGCCCCGGUCUCCAGGGGCCUCACCCGAGUCAUGCCCCGCUAUUGCGCAGCGAUUUGUUGUAAGAACCGCCGGGGACGAAACAAUAAAGACCGGAAGCUGAGUUUUUAUCCGAAAGAAUUAUUCCAUAUUUAUUACGACUGAGACAAAUUAAGGAUGAAACUCUUCAGGCUGCAGUUAGAGAAAUUUUGGCCCUAAUUGGCUAUGUGGAUCCAGUGAAAGGGAGAGGAAUCCGAAUUCUCUCAAUUGAUGGUGGAGGAACAAGGGGCGUGGUUGCUCUCCAGACCCUACGAAAAUUAGUUGAACUUACUCAGAAGCCAGUUCAUCAGCUCUUUGAUUACAUUUGUGGUGUAAGCACAGGU